AUUAGGAAGGUCUGAGCACAGGAUGAGUGGAAGCAAAAUGAAUCUCCGCUGCAAACUGACCCCAAAGGAAGAAGAAUUAUUUGGAGAAGUAAUGAGAAGCUGCAGAUUUCUUUUAUCCAUCACAGUCUGUAUGCUGAAUGCCAAUCUCUUGAGAUACAUCUCUUCAUCUAACAAAACCUGAAGAGCAAAAGUACAGAUAUUCGAAAAUGAAAACUGCACCACUGAGCUGCAAAGCCACCAGGAAAUGACAAAUGCCUCCAAAUGCAGGUAUGAGGAAUAAAAAGUAGUCAUAAAAUGGUAAGAAAUAUGUUCACUGUUUUGUGAAGGUAUGUCACUUCUUUAUUUUUAGUCUGCACUUGAAAUCCAAUGUGCUCAAGCAAGAGAGAAUUGAGUGGCGACUAUUUCCAGAAGUACUUUAUUUUACUGAAAAUUGCACACGAAGAGAUGCAUUUGAACAGGAGGGGCAAGGUUUUAAUUUAACGGUUGUGGCAAGAAUACUUUUUUAAAAAAAUCAUGAGGACAGCAGGGGUAAGGAUAAGAAUAGGAAUAGGGAUAGGGUGGCCCUCCUGAUACAGCUGAAAUGCAACUCACAGCAGCUCUAGCCAGCAUAGUCAAUGGUAAAGAAUGCCAGGAAUUGCCAUUCAGCAAUAUCCCAAGGAUAGCACAUAUCCCACCUCUUUCCUAAAACACUGGGCACACAAACUUAUUUUCACCUAUACAUAAAAAAUAGCAAUAGCAUUUACAUUUCUAUACCACUUAAUAGUGAACUUAGCACUUUCUAGGUGGUUUAAAUUUUCCCCAACAAGUUGGGUAUUCAUUUUACUGACCUAUGAAGAGAUAGCAGGCUGAAUGAACCUAGGAGCCCUGGAAUUGAACUCACAACCUUGUGGAAGCAUUUAACCGCUGUGCCACCAAUAAAAUCACAACAGGAAAGCUCACAUACUGGUUAUCACCUUGGUACCUGAAGGUUGUGGAAUGGGAGAAAUGGAGUAGACUUUUCUUAUUCAAUGUCUAUUGGGCCACUUUUGGAAGCCACUUCAGUGCUUGGGAAUCUUCCCAGAUAUUGAAGUGAUAGCAUCAUUUUGGCCAGUCCUUUGAGUCAACCGGGGAGUUCAGUGUGCACAUGAAAAACACAGUAUCAUGUGUCAUAUCAGAUCUUACAAGACUUGGCAAGGCCUAUAUCAGGCCUCAGCAGCCAUGGGUAGGUGGGUAGAAAAUCAAAGAUACAAUAAAAGCUUAUGGAAUUUGUCUGUAAUUAGAAGCAGAGAUCCAAUUUUUUUUUUUUUGAAUGACUGCUUUGGGAGAACAUUUACAA